CCUACGGGAGGCAGCAGUGGGGAAUAUUGCACAAUGGGGGCAACCCUGAUGCAGCAACGCCGCGUGGGUGAAGAAGUACUUCGGUAUGUAAAGCUCUUUCAGCAGGGAAGAAAAUGACGGUACCUGACCAAGAAGCCCCGGCUAACUACGUGCCAGCAGCCGCGGUAAUACGUAGGGGCCAAGCGUUAUCCGGAUUUACUGGGUGUAAAGGGAGCGUAGACGGCAAGGCAAGUCUGGAGUGAAAGCCCGUGGCUCAACCACGGGACUGCAUUGGAAACUGUGUUGCUGGAGUGCAGGAGGGGAAAGCGGAAUUCAUAGUGUAGCGGUGAAAUGCGUAGAUAUUAGGAGGAACACCGGUGGCGAAGGCGGCUUACUGGACUGUAACUGACGUUGAGGCUCGAAGGCGUGGGGAGCAAACAGGAUUAGAUACCCCUGUAGUC
rnacentral:rRNA from 1 species